CCUACGGGAGACAGCAGUGGGGGAUAUUGCACAAUGGGGGGAACCCUGAUGCAGCGACGCCGCGUGGGUGAAGAAGCGCCUCGGCGCGUAAAGCCCUGUCAGCAGGGAAGAAAAUGACGGUACCUGAAGAAGAAGCCCCGGCUAACUACGUGCCAGCAGCCGCGGUCAUACGUAGGGGGCAAGCGUUAUCCGGAUUUACUGGGUGUAAAGGGGGCGCAGACGGCGAUGCAAGCCAGGAGUGAAAGCCCGGGGCCCAACCCCGGGACUGCCCUUGGAACUGCGUGGCUGGAGUGCAGGAGGGGCAGGCGGAAUUCCUGGUGUAGCGGUGAAAUGCGUAGAUAUCAGGAGGAACACCGGUGGCGAAGGCGGCCUGCUGGACUGCAACUGACGUUGAGGCCCGAAAGCGUGGGGAGCAAACAGGAUUAGAUACCCUUGUAGUC
rnacentral:rRNA from 1 species